ensembl:lncRNA
GGAAAAGUAAAUAUUAAAGGAUUGAAAGGUCUUCCUUGAUGGUCCAGUGGUUAAGGCGUUGCCUAAAUAGUAAUGUAACAAAUUCAAUAAAGACCUUAAAACUAGUCCACAUUAAAAAAAAAAAAAAUCUUUAAAAAAGGAUUAGUGAUCACCUAAAUAAGCCAGCAUAUAGAUUAAAAAACAAUCUGAAAAAUUCUCUGAAAGCAGUUAUACCUACAAUGAACAGCAAAAGGAUGAACAAGAAUAUGUAAAACAGGAUGUCAGAAUCACAAAAUAUCGGGGAGGGAAGUAAGAAAAGGUAGCUCUUUCAGAAUGUGUUUGAGCUUGUAUCACUGUCAGUCUUUAUGUUCGGAAACUAUCUGUAUCUAAUGGCCCUUUCCUUACUGACAUGCUCUUGCUCCUCAGUUCAUGCAAACUUGUAGACACCUAAGUUUCUCCAUGUUUCUUUGCUAGCAUUUUCUAUCCAUUGGCACUAAACCACUAGCAUCUGUCAUCACCUUUUGUCCGUGAGUAGGGCUUCAGAGCUUCUGUCCACACGUAUAGUACAUUCCAGUCUCAACCUCUCUUCUGAACACAUCACAGUGCUGGUCAAAGCCACUUGGACGUGCUGCCUACCCAUUCCUCAAACAAUUGUUCUUCUUUCCCUUUCCAAGGGAAACCUCUGGCUCUCUCAUUUUCUCAAUGACCAACCCUUUACUCCAGCAUCCGUACUAAACCACCCCCCACAAGUCAUCUUUGUCUCUACACUUUCUCACUCAGUUUUACAGCUUGCAAAAUGCAUCAGCUGUACCGUAUGUUAUGUCAUGCUCAUUGAAGUGCUGGUAGUUGGACAGCGCUGUCCCCCCUCUUGACUGUACGAUUGGCGAGCUAGAGACUCUCGGUCUCAUCUCACCCUUGACAGUCAAUGCCCCGUAACUCCUCUGGCAUGGAGAAUAGCUCCAUAGCUGACAGCUGGGGCUCUCUUCAAGCCUCAACUCAUACUAUGUUGUUGACACUUGUUCCAUAGAGCUAUGAAUGAGAGGCACCUCUUGGCAGGUUUUCGCAGAAAAGUCUCUGAAGAACAGGUUUUAGAUGAACAGUGAUGUACAGAACCCAGGUGGUAACUGUGCUGAGAGAAUUUAGUAAUUGAAUUAACCACCUUCAUUUAGGCCGAAAAUCUUUCUUUCCCUCAAAUUAAGCCUUAAGCAGUAUCUGUAUCUAUUGUCCAUUUCUAUAGAAGAGGGAUUGAAAAAAAGAACACCAUAUAACUAUCUCAUCCUCUGUGACCCUCUUCUCCUCCUGCCUUUAAUCUGUCCCAGCACUGGGGUCUUUUCCCAUGAGUUGGCUCCGGGCAUGAGAUGGCCAUAGUAUAGCUUUAGCUUCAGCAUCUGUUCUUCCAAUGAAUAUUCAGGAUUGAUUUCCUUAAGGAUUGACUGCUUUGAUCUCCUUGCUGUCCGAAUAAUGAUACUAAUUGGCCAAUUUUGUGUGCAUCAAAUUUUUCACAGAAACAAUGCAUCUGGAUUUUUAAAAAUGACCAAACUACCUAGAAGCAGUCGGGUGUCCAAAUACCAUAAAGCCUACAGAUUUACAAAUGAAAGUGAAAGUCACUCAGUCGUGUCCAGCUCUGUGACCCCAUGGACGAUACAGUCCGUGGAAUUCUCUACUCUGGAAUAUCUGAGUUUGUAGCCUUUCCCUUCUCUGGGAGGUCUUCCCAACCCAGGGAUCAAACCCAGGUCUCGCACAUUGCAGGUGGAUUCUUUACCAGCUGAGCCAGCAGGGAAAUCCAAGAGUACUGGAGUGGGUAGCAUGUCCCUUCUCCAGUGGAUCUUCUGACCCAGGAAUCAAACCAGGGUCUCCUGCAUUGCAGACAGAUUCCUUACCAGCUGAGCUACCAAGGAAGCCCUCCAGAUCUACAAGGAGAUACCUUAUAAUUAUUACUAGAGCAAACAGCUUAGGAAGUGAUAGCUAAGGCUGGCAAUGAUCCCUGCAGUUUUGGAACAGAUGUCAAGUGCUGUGGAUCUUAACACUGAAUCCUUAUGGCUAAAUGGAUUUCCC